GUAAUAUAUAUUGCAAUUACCGAAAAAACUCAAUUUUGUAGUGGUUAACCUUCAGAUUUUGAGAAAAAAUUAAAACAAUUUGACAAUAUUUUUAUUGCAUAGUUGCAUCCUUAACAGACAUAUGAUGAUGGUCAAAGAGGUUUGAAAUGUAUGUUGUGUCCGUUUCUCAAGAGAAUAUAUAGUUUAUAGUGUUUAGUCCACUUAUUUAAGUAGUAUAUAAAAUUUAUUAAAUUAAUUUUUUUUAAAACUCUAGUGAUGUCUAUGUAGGAUGAAAGAGAGUUUACAAUACAUUAAUACAAAUGUAGAAUGUGUUUAGAAAUUUUUAAACAGCAUUUAAGAAUGUAAACUUCAAUAUAUAUUGCAAUUACCGAAAAAAUUCAAUUUUGUAGGGGUUAACCUUCAGAUUUUGAGAAAAAAUCAAAAAUUUUGACAAUUUUUUUUAUUGCAUAGUUGCAUCCUUAACAUAUAUAUGAUUAUGGUCAAAGAGGUUUGAAAUGUAUUUAUUGUCCGCUUCUCUAGAGAAUAUAUAUUUUAUAGUGUUUAUUCCACUGAUUUAAGUAGUAUAUAAAAUUUAUUAAAUUUUUUUUUUAAACUCUAGUGCUGUCUAUGUACCAUGAAGUAAAGUUUACAAUAGAUUAAUACAAAUGUAGAAUGUGUUUAAAAAUUUUUAAACAGCAUUUAAAAAUGUAAACGUCAAUAUAUGUUGCAAUUACCGAAAAAACUCAAUUUUGUAGGGGGUUAACCUUCAGGUUUUGAGAAAAAAUCAAAAAAUUUGACAAUCUUUCAUUAUUGCAUAGUUGCAUCCUUAACAGACAUAUGAUGAUGGCCAAAGAAGUUUGAAAUGUAUGUUGUGUCUGUUUCACUAGAGAAUAUAUAUUUUAUAGUGUUUAGUUCACUGAUUUAAAUAGUAUAUAAAAUUUAAUAAAUUAAAUUUUUAAAAACUAUAGUGAUGUCUAUGUACCAUGAAAGAGAGUUUACAAUACAUUAAUACAAAUGUAUAAUGUGUUUAGAAAUUUUUAAACAGCUCUAAAGAAUGUAAACUUCAAUAUGUAUUGCAAUUACGAAAAAACUUGAUUUUGUAGACCUUCAGAUUUUGAGAAAAAUUCAAAAAAAUUGAGAAUAAUUUUUUAUUGCAUAGUUGCAUCCCUAACAGACAUAUGAUGAUGGUCAAAGAGGUUUGAAAUGUAUGUUGUAUCCAUUUCACUAGAGAAUAUAUAUUUUAUAGUGUUUAGUUCACUGAUUUAAGUAGUAUAUAAAAUUUAUUAAAUUAAAUUUUUAAUAACUAUAGUGAUGUCUAUGUACCAUGAAAGAGAGUUUACAAUAUAUUAAUACAGAUGUAGAAUGUGGUUAGAAAUGUUUAACAGCUAUAAAGAAUGUAAACUUUAAUAUAUAUUGCAAUUACCGAAAAAACUCAAUUUUGUAGGGGUGUUAACCUUCAAAUUUUAAGAAAAAAUCAAAAAUUUUGACAAUCUUUUUUUAUUUCAUUGUUGCAUCCUUAACAGACAUAUGAUGAUGGUCAAAGUGGUUUGAAAUGUAUGUUGUGUCCGUUUCACUAGAGAAUAUAUAUUUUAAAGUCUUUAGUCAACUGAUUUAAGUAGUAUGUAAAAUUUAUUAAAUUUUUGAAAACUAUAGUGAUGUCUAUGUACCAUGAAAGAGAGUUUACAAUACAUUAAUACAAAAGUAGAAUAUGUUUAGAAAUUUUUAAACAGCUCUAAAGAAUGUAAACUUCAAUAUGUAUUGCAAUUACCGAAAAACUCAAUUUUGUAGGGGUUAACCUUCAGAUUUGGAGAAAAAAUCAAAAAAUUUGAGAAUCUUUUUUUAUUGCACAGUUGCAUCCUUAACAGACAUAUGAUGAUGUUCAAAUAGGUUUGAAAUGUAUUUAUUGUCUGUUUCUCAAGAGAAUAUAUAUUUUAUAAUGUUUAGUCCACCGAUUUAAAUAGUAUAUAAAAUUUAUUAUAUUUAAUUUUUUUAAACUCUAGUGAUGUCUAUGUACCAUGAAAUAGAGUUUAAAAUACAUUAACACAAAUGUAGAAUGUGUUUAGAAAUUUUUAAACAGCAUUUAAGAAUGUAAACUUCAAUAUAUAUUGCAAUUAUCGAAAAAAUACAAUUUUGUAGGGGGUUAACCUUCAGAUUUGGAGAAAAAAUCAAAAAAUUUGACAAUCCUUUUUUAUUACAUAGUUGCAUCCUUAAGAGACAUAUGAUGAUGGUCAAAGAGGUUUAAAAUGUAUUUAUUGUCCGUUUCUCUAGAGAAUAUUUAUUUUGGAGUGUUUAGUCCACUGAUUUAAGUAGUAUAUAAAAUUUAUUAAUUUAAAUUUUUAAAAACUAUAGUGAUGUCUAUGUACCAUGAAAGAGAUUUUAAAAUACAUUAAUACAAAUGUACAAUGUGUUUAUAAAUUUUUAAACAGCAUUUAAGAAUGUAAACGUCAAUAUAUAUUGCAAUUACCGAAAAAAACUCAAUUUUGUAGGGGUUAACCUUUAGGUUUUGAGAAAAAUAUCAAAAAAUUUGACAAUCUUUUUUUAUUGCAUAAUUGCAUCCUUAAUAGACAUAUGAUGAUGGCCAAAGAGGUUUGAAAUGUUUGUUGUGUCCGUUUCACUAGAGAAUAUAUAUUUUAUAGUGUUUAGUUCACUAAUUUAAGUAGUAUAUAAAAUUUAUUAAAUUUAAUUUUUAAAAACUAUAGUGAUGUCUAUGUACCAUGAAAGAGAGUUUACAAUACAGUAAUACAAACGUAGAAUGUGUUUAGAAAUUUUCAAACAGCUCUAAAGAAUGUAAACUUCAAUAUGUAUUUCAAUUACCAAAAAAACUCGAUUUUGUAGGGGUUAACCUUUAGAUUUUGAGAAAAAUUCAAAAAAAUUGAGAAUAUUUUUUUAUUGCAUAGUUGCAUCCUUAACAGACAUAUGAUGAUGGUCAAAGUGGUUUGAAAUGUUUGUUGUGUCCGUUUCACUAGAGAAUAUAUAUUUUAUAGUGUUUAGUCCACUGAUUUAAGUAGUAUAUAAAAUUUACUAAAUUAAAUUUUUAAAAACUAUAGUGAUAUCUAUGUACCAUGAAAGGGAGUUUAAAAUACAUUAAUACAAAUGUAGAAUGUGGUUAGAAAUGUUUAACAGCUCUAAAGAAUGUAAACUUCAGUAUAUAUUGCAAUUACCGAAACAAACUCAAUUUUGUAGGGGGUUAACCUUCAGAUUUUGAGAAAAAAUCAAAAAUUUUGACAAUCUUUUUUUAUUUCAUAGUUGCAUCCUUAACAGACAUAUGAUGAUGGUCAAAGAGGUUUGAAAUGUAUGUUGUGUCCGUUUCACUAGAGAAUAUAUAUUUUAUAGUGUUUAGUCCACUGAUUUAAAUAGUAUAUAAAAUUUAUUAAAUUAAAUUUUUAAAAACUAUAGUGAUGUCUAUGUACCAUGAAAGAGAGUUUACAAUACAUUAAUACAAAUGUAGAAUGUGUUUAGAAAUUCUUAAACAGCUCUAAAGAAUGUAAACUUCAAUAUGUAUUGCAAUUACCGAAAAAACUCAAUUUUGUAGGGGUUAACCUUCAGAUUUUAAGAAGAAAUCAAAAAAUUUGACAAUCUUUUUUUUAUUGCAUAGUUGCAUCCUUAACAGACAUAUGAUGAUGGUCAAAGAGGUUUGAAAUGUAUGUUGUGUCCGUUUCUCUAGAGAAUAUAUAUUUUAUAGUGUUUAGUCUACUGAUUUAAGUAGUAUAUAAAAUUUAUUAAAUUAAAUUUUUUAAAACUAUAGUGAUGUCUAUGUACCAUGAAAGAGAGUUUACAAUACAUUAAUACAAAUUUAGAAUGUAGUUAGAAAUUUUAAACAGCACUAAAGAAUGUAAAGUUCAAUAUAUAUUGCAAUCACCGAAAAAACUUAAUUUUGUAGGGGUUAACCUUCAGAUUUUGAGAAAAAAUUAAAAAAUUAAAAAAUUUGACAAUUUUUUUUAUUGCAUAGUUGCAUCCUUAACAGAUAUAUGAUGAUGGUCAAAGAGGUCUGAAAUGUAUGUUGUGUCAGUUUCUUUAGAGAAUAUAUAAUUUAUAGUAUUUAGUUCACUGAUUUAAGUAGUAUAUAAAAUUUAUUAAAUUAAAUUUUAAAAGCUAUAGUGAUGUAUAUGUACCAUGAAAGAGAGUUUACAAUACAUUAAUACAAAUGUAGAAUAUGGUUAGAAAUUUUUAACAGCACUAACGAAUGUAAAAUUCAAUAUAUAUUGCAAUUACCGAAAAAACUUAAUUUUGUAGGGGUUAACCUUCGAAUUUUGAGAAAAAAUCAAAAAAUUUGACAAUCUUUUUUUAUUGCAUAGUUGCAUCUUUAACAGACACAUGAUGAUGGUCAAAGAGGUUUGAAAUGUAUGUUGUGUUCUUUUCUCUAGAGAAUAUAUAUUUUAUAGUGUUUAUUCCACUGAUUUAAGUAGUAUAUAAAAUUUAUUAAAUUAAAUUUUUAAAAACUACAGUGAUGUCUAUGUACCAUGAAAGAGAGUUUACAAUACAUUAAUACAAAUGUAGAAUGUGGUUAGAAAUUUUUAAACAACAUUAAAGAGUGUAAACUUCAAUAUGUAUUGCAAUUACCGAAAAAACUCAAUUUUGUAGGGGGUUAUUAACCUUCACAUUUUGAGAAAAAUCAAAAAAAAUUUGACAAUCUUUUUUUAUUCAUAGUUGCAUCCUUAACAGACAUAUGAUGAUGGUCAAAGAGGUUUGAAAUGUAUGUUGUGUCCGUUUAACUAGAGAAUAUAUAUUUUAUAGUGUUUAGUCCACUGAUUUAAGUAGUAUAUAAAAUUUAUGAAAUAAAUUUUUAAAAACUAUAGUGCUGUCUAUGUACCAUGAUAGAGAGUUUACAAUACAUUAAUACAAAUUUAGAAUGUGGUUAGAAAUUUUUAAACAGCACUAAAGAAUGUAAACUUCAAUAUAUAUUGCAAUUCCCGAAAAAACUCAAUUUUGUAGAGGUUAACCUUCAGAUUUCGAGAAAAAAUCAAAAAAUUUGACAAUCUUUUUUUAUUGCGUAGUUCCAUUCUUAACAGACAUAUGAUGAUGGUCAAAGAGGUUUGAAAUGUAUGUUGUGUCCGUUUCUCUAGAGAAUAUAUAUUUUAUAGUGUUUAGUUUACAGAUUUUAGUAGUAUAUAAAAUUUAUUAAAUUAAAUUUUUUAAAAAUAUUGUGAAGUCUAUGUACCAUGAAAGAUAGUUUAGCAUACAUUAAUAUAAAUAUAUAAUGUGGUUAGAAAUUUUUAAACAACACUAAAGAGUGUAAAUUUCAUUAUAUAGAGCAUUUAGAAUUGAACGAUGUCGAGGUACCAUAUAAGAGAGUUUAGAAUAAAUUAAUUCAAAUAUAAAAUAUGGUUUGAAAUUUAAAAAAAACAUUAAAGAUUAUAGGCUUCAGUAUAUUAACCAUUUACCGAAAAACUGAAUAUUUUGUAGGGGUUAACACAUAGAUUUUGAAGAAAAUUAAUAAAAUAUUACAAUAUGGUUUUAAUGCAUAGUUGUAUCAUGAACUAACAUAUGAUGAUGGCCGGAGAAGUUUGGAGCCUUUGUUAUCUCUGUUUCUCUAGAAUAGGGAUUUUAUUGUGGUUUGUCCAAUAAUUUGGGGAGCAUAUGAAGUCUUAUAAAUUAAUCGAUAAAAAAAA